rnacentral:rRNA from 1 species
GGGGGGGGGGGGGGGGGGGGGGGGGGCGGGCGGGGCGGGCGGGGGGGGGGGGGGGGGGUGGGGGGGGCGAGUGGCGAGCGGGUGGGGAAGACGGGGGUAGCCUGCCCUUGACUGGGGGACAACUUCUGGAAACUGGGGCUAAUACCUGAUACUAGCUCCUGCUGCAGGGUGGUGGUUGGAACGUUUCCGCGGUUGGGGAGGGCCUCGGCGGUUAUCUGCUUGGUGGGGGGGUAGUGGCUUACCAAGGCUUGGACGGGUCGCCCGCCUGAGAGGGUGACCGGCCAGAUUGGGUGUGAGGGACGGCCCAGACUCAUACGGGAGGGAGCAGUGGGGAAGAUUGCAUAAUGGGCGGAAGCCUGAUGCAGCAACGCCGCGUGCGGGAUGACGGCCUUCUGGUUGUAAACCGCUUUCGCCUGUGACGAAGCGUGAGUGACGGUAAUGGGUAAAGAAGCACCGGCUAACUACGUG